UUGGCUACGCGAGCGCAUGAGGUGUGUUGGACCAGUGACWGUUGGGAGGCCCCCCGCCAUUGUGCGGCUGACUCUUGACGCCUGUGUUCUUUCAAUUGUUUGGCCGUUGUGCCUGACCCAUUUGACGAGUGCUUGCAUGCUACUACCAGUCCACUGGAAGUUGCNCUUGCUAAAAGUUGCCUUUGUCGUGCCCAUCCUUGAGAUGUGGCACGUCGACGAGAAAGCCUCCACGGCGUCGCCUCGUGUAGCCAGCCACCUAGACUGGCAUCAUCAAGGCCACCUUGUGUAUGCUCUUGGUCCCGGAUGCUGCAAGCAAAAAAGGCCGAAGGCGCUUCGCGUCGCGUGCCUAAGGUUGCCUUGUCGGAAACGACGACAGUCGGCUCGACUGAUGCCUCGUGUUCAUGUCGGUGCCUUCUCGUCGAUGAGGACGUGCUACCUGGUUGAUCCUGCCAGUAGUCAUAUGCUUGUCU
rnacentral:misc_RNA from 1 species